rnacentral:rRNA from 1 species
UACGGGGGGGGCAAGCGUUGUUCGGAAUUACUGGGCGUAAAGGGCGCGUAGGCGGUUUGCUAAGUUGGAUGUGAAAACUCUGGGCUCAACCCAGAGCCUGCAUCCAAAACUGGCAGGCUAGAGUUCUGGAGGGGAAAGCGGAAUUCCUGGUGUAGCGGUGAAAUGCGUAGAUAUCAGGAGGAACACCGGUGGCGAAGGCGGCUUUCUGGACAGAAACUGACGCUGAGGCGCGAAAGCUAGGGGAGCAAACAGGAUUAGAAACCCCCGUAGUCC